GAUGAACGCUGGCGGCGUGCCUAAUACAUGCAAGUCGAGCGAACGGACGAGAAGCUUGCUUCUCUGAUGUUAGCGGCGGACGGGUGAGUAACACGUGGAUAACCUACCUAUAAGACUGGGAUAACUUCGGGAAACCGUAGCUAAUACCGGAUAAUAUUUUGAACCGCAUGGUUCAAAAGUGAAAGACGGUCUUGCUGUCACUUAUAGAUGGAUCCGCGCUGCAUUAGCUAGUUGGUAAGGUAACGGCUUACCAAGGCAACGAUGCAUAGCCGACCUGAGAGGGUGAUCGGCCACACUGGAACUGAGACACGGUCCAGACUCCUACGGGAGGCAGCAGUAGGGAAUCUUCCGCAAUGGGCGAAAGCCUGACGGAGCAACGCCGCGUGAGUGAUGAAGGUCUUCGGAUCGUAAAACUCUGUUGUUAGGGAAGAACAUAUGUGUAAGUAACUGUGCACAUCUUGACGGUACCUAAUCAGAAAGCCACGGCUAGCUACGUG
rnacentral:rRNA from 1 species